UACAGAGGUCUCAAGCGUUGUUCGGAUUCAUUGGGCGUAAAGGGUGCGUAGGCGGCGCGGUAAGUCGGGUGUGAAAUCUCGGAGCUUAACUCCGAAACUGCAUUUGAUACUGCCUUGCUUGAGGACUGGAGAGGAGACUGGAAUUCACGGUGUAGCAGUGAAAUGCGUAGAGAUCGUAAGGAAGACCAGUGGCGAAGGCGAGUUUCUGGACAGUUACUGACGCUGAGGCACGAAGGCCAGGGGAGCAAACGGG
rnacentral:rRNA from 1 species